UCUCCAGACUCCUACGGGAGGCAGCAGUGGGGAAUAUUGCACAAUGGGGGGAACCCUGAUGCAGCAAUGCCGCGUGGGUGAAGAAGCACUCCGGUGCGUAAAGCCCUGUCAGCAGGGAAGAAAAUGACAGUACCUGGACAAGAAGCCCCGGCUAACUACGUGCCAGCAGCCGCGGUAAUACGUAGGGGGCAAGCGUUAUCCGGAUUUACUGGGUGUAAAGGGAGCGUAGACGGCGAUGCAAGUCUGAAGUGAAAGGCGGGGGCCCAACCCCCGGACUGCUUUGGAAACUGUAUGGCUGGAGUGCAGGAGAGGUAAGUGGAAUUCCUAGUGUAGCGGUGAAAUGCGUAGAUAUUAGGAGGAACACCAGUGGCGAAGGCGGCUUACUGGACUGUAACUGACGUUGAGGCUCGAAAGCGUGGGGAGCAAACAGGAUUAGAUACCCGAGUACC
rnacentral:rRNA from 1 species